UACGUAGGGUGCGAGCGUUGUCCGGAUUUAUUGGGCGUAAAGAGCGUGUAGGCGGUUAUACAGGUCCGCUGUGAAAACUGGAGGCUUAACCUCCAGACGUCGGUGGAAACCGUAUGACUAGAGUCCGGAAGAGGAGAGUGGAAUUCCUGGUGUAGCGGUGAAAUGCGCAGAUAUCAGGAAGAACACCCGUGGCGAAGGCGGCUCUCUGGGACGGUACUGACGCUGAGACGCGAAAGCGUGGGGAGCGAACAGG
rnacentral:rRNA from 1 species